AUUGAACGCUGGCGGCAGGCCUAACACAUGCAAGUCGAACGGUAACAGAAAGCAGCUUGCUGCUUUGCUGACGAGUGGCGGACGGGUGAGUAAUGUCUGGGAAACUGCCUGAUGGAGGGGGAUAACUACUGGAAACGGUAGCUAAUACCGCAUAACGUCGCAAGACCAAAGAGGGGGACCUUCGGGCCUCUUGCCAUCGGAUGUGCCCAGAUGGGAUUAGCUAGUAGGUGGGGUAACGGCUCACCUAGGCGACGAUCCCUAGCUGGUCUGAGAGGAUGACGAGCCACACGGGAACUGAGCCCCGGUCCAGCCUCCGGCGGGAGGCAGCGGGGGGAAUUUUUGAACAGAGGGCGAAAUAUUGAGGCACCCAUGCGGGGUGUAUGAGGAAGGCUUGGGUUUUAUAAAGUUCUUUCGGGGGGGAGGAGGGGAUAAAAGUAAAUACCUUUGCUCAUUGAGUUUCCCCGAAAAAGAAGCCCCGGCUACCUCCGUG
rnacentral:rRNA from 1 species